UGGGGAAUUUUGGACAAUGGGCGAAAGCCUGAUCCAGCAAUGCCGCGUGUGUGAAGAAGGCCUUAGGGUUGUAAAGCACUUUUGUCCGGAAAGAAAUCCUUGGCUCUAAUACAGUCGGGGGAUGACGGUACCGGAAGAAUAAGCACCGGCUAACUACGUGCCAGCAGCCGCGGUAAUACGUAGGGUGCAAAGCGUUAAUCGGAAUUACUGGGCGUAAAGCGUGCGCAGGCGGUUUGCUAAGACCGAUGUGAAAUCCCCGGGCUCAACCUGGGAACUGCAUUGGUGACUGGCAGGCUAGAGUAUGGCAGAGGGGGGUAGAAUUCCACGUGUAGCAGUGAAAUGCGUAGAGAUGUGGAGGAAUACCGAUGGCGAAGGCAGCCCCCCUGGGCCAAUACUGACGCUCAUGCACGAAAGCGUGGGGAGCAAACAGGAUUAGAUACCCUGGUAGUCCACGCCCUAAAACGAUGUCAACUAGUUGUUGGGGGAUUCAUUUCCUUAGUAACGUAGCUAACGCGUGAAGUUGACCGCCUGGGGAGUACGUCGCAAGAUUAAAACUCAAAUGAAUUGACGGGGUCAUAGCUGUUUCCU
rnacentral:rRNA from 1 species